rnacentral:lncRNA from 10 species
GACCGGAGCUGUUCCUAUUCGGCCAUCUUGGCUCCUCCCCCGGGACAAUUAUUUUCUAUGGAAAUAAAACUAAUUCUUGAGGCAGGAUCUCUCUAUGUUGCCAGAGCUAGCCUUGAACUCCUGGGCUCAAGCAAUCAUCCACCUCUUCCUCCCAAAGUUCUGAAAUUACAGGUGAGAGCUAGGACGGGCAGCCCUGUAAUUCUUGGGGGCUGAACUAUUGAUCCAGUUCAUACUACAAAGAGCCUACUUUCUGCCUCUUGUGGACAUUUUUGUUUGUGCCUGGAGGCCUCAGCUUUUCAACUUUGGAGGCAACAAUCCCUUCCUCCCAGGGAACAGCAUCCUGAUGUGGUUAAUCUCCAGGUGGUUUUGCUAUCUUCUUAGCGGCAUUUCAGCCGUUUUCACCAUGUCUGGAUGACAAAGAUAAUAUACAGAUUCUAUCAUGGAAAUAAAGCAGAGUUGAUUACCUUUUAGAAAUAUAACAUCAGUGUACUAUUACAUGAAAAAUAUUUGAAACCUAGCGGAGUUCUAAAGAAGAAACUGUCUCUACCAGAAACGUUGCCUGCAGCAGAGAGGAGGAGGAACAAUCCUGAGCUUCUCUUUAGCUUCUGAUGAAGAACGAGGUCACAUCCUUUGCAGGAAUAUGGAUGGAGCUGGAGGCCAUUAUCCAUUGCAAACUAAUGCAGAAACAGAACACUUAAGACCGAAUGUCCUCACUUGUAAGUGGAAGCUAAAUGAGAACACAUGGAUGACAGAAUGGAACAACACACACUAGGGCCUGUCUGAGGGUGGAAGGUGGGAGGAGGAAAAGGAUUAGGAAAAAUAACUAAUGGGUACUAGGCUCAAUAACUGGGUGAUACAAUAAUCUGUACCACAAAUUUCCAUGAGACAAGUUUACCUAUGUAACAAACCUGCACAUACACCCUGGAACUUAAAGUUAAAAUAAUAAAAAUAGUUUAAAAUAUUGGAGAAAAAAAAGCAUGAAAACUUGUUCAUAAUGUUGUUAAGCUUC